UUAUUUUUGAAAUAUUAAUUGACGUUUUCAUAUUAAAAAAAAAAAUGAAGAAAAUCGACCACUCAUAGUGACCAUGGGGCAGACCGAACCCAACCCAAAUCAUAAUAAGGCUCCAUUCAGCCCAUCCUUACUCGGAAAGGAGGUGGUUUCGGUGCUGGAGGGUGUUUUCCCUAUAUCAUAAUAAGCCCAAGCUCUUGCUCGCCGGUUAUUGCAGCCUAAUACCAUCAUAGUCCAACGCCACAAAGAAGCGCCGGAGUUUCUCCACAGAAGCUAGCUCUGGUGUUACUGGCGGUUCAGCUCUUCAAUUUUUCAGGAAAACCAUAUCUCGUGAUCCAAUGUUGGUGACAGGUGACGAGAAGUAAAACAAAAACAAGAAGUGACUGGAUGGGCCAUGGAAUUGCUUUCACGAGCAUGUCCUCGGAGAACACGAAGCCAACCAUGUGCAACAUGGCCCAGUUUUCGAGUAUUUUAUCAGGUUGAAUGGCAUGCACAAUAUUUACAGGCCUGGUUUUAAUAUUUGAGGGUCGGUUUGGUGAGCCGGCAGUGCUUCGAAGUGAUCGAGGUCAGUAACAAGAUUGGAGCAGAUAGCAAGGGGGAUUAUUACAGUGAAAUUUGGAUUGGCUACUGUUUCUUUUUUUUGGUUCGAAGUAGAGACUGAGUGAUUUCUGUGCAGUCCAAUUUGUUGGAUUGCUAUCGUCAAUCUUUGUCCUCUUUUUGGAACACUUUUUGGAAACACGGCUGAGAAACUGUGUUUUUUUU